rnacentral:rRNA from 1 species
AUUGAACGCUGGCGGCAUGCUUUACACAUGCAAGUCGAACGAGUGGCGCACGGGUGAGUAAUACAUCGGAACGUGUCCUAUCGUGGGGGAUAACUGAUCGAAAGAUCAGCUAAUACCGCAUACGAUUGGAGCGGCCGAUGCCCGAUUAGCUAGUUGGUGAGGUAAAGGCUCACCAAGGCGACGAUCGGUAGCUGGUCUGAGAGGACGACCAGCCACACUGGGACUGAGACACGGCCCAGACUCCUACGGGAGGCAGCAGUGGGGAAUUUUGGACAAUGGGGGCAACCCUGAUCCAGCCAUGCCGCGUGCAGGAUGAAGGUCUUCGGAUUGUAAACUGCUUUUAGCCAUGACGCGGUAGUGGCAGAAGAAGCACCGGCUAACUACGUGCCAGCAGCCGCGGUAAUUC